ACAUGCAAGUCGAGCGAACAGAUAAGGAGCUUGCUCCUUUGACGUUAGCGGCGGACGGGUGAGUAACACGUGGGUAACCUACCUAUAAGACUGGGAUAACUUCGGGAAACCGGAGCUAAUACCGGAUAACAUUUGGAACCGCAUGGUUCUAAAGUGAAAGAUGGUUUUGCUAUCACUUAUAGAUGGACCCGCGCCGUAUUAGCUAGUUGGUAAGGUAACGGCUUACCAAGGCGACGAUACGUAGCCGACCUGAGAGGGUGAUCGGCCACACUGGAACUGAGACACGGUCCAGACUCCUACGGGAGGCAGCAGUAGGGAAUCUUCCGCAAUGGGCGAAAGCCUGACGGAGCAACGCCGCGUGAGUGAUGAAGGGUUUCGGCUCGUAAAACUCUGUUAUUAGGGAAGAACAAACGUGUAAGUAACUGUGCACGUCUUGACGGUACCUA
rnacentral:rRNA from 1 species